rnacentral:miRNA from 1 species
CUGCCUGUUCUUCCACUCCAG